GAAGAAAUAACUCUCUUCAAAACCUGUGGACCUAUACCUGCUGUAACAACGCCGUUCUUUCGGCGGGCUUACCGCGGCUCCGGGCCUCCCUUCGGGGCGGUCUCGGCGCCAAGGCGCCCGCCGGAGGCGGCGAAACCAAACCCUUACUGUAUUCUAUGGCCUCUGUGAUUACAAAACAAAUAAGUCA
rnacentral:misc_RNA from 1 species